rnacentral:rRNA from 1 species
UACGUAGGGUGCAAGCGUUGUCCGGAAUUAUUGGGCGUAAAGAGCUCGUAGGCGGUCUGUCGCGUCGGCUGUGAAAACCCGGGGCUCAACCCCGGGCCUGCAGUCGAUACGGGCAGACUAGAGUGCGGUAGGGGAGAUUGGAAUUCCUGGUGUAGCGGUGGAAUGCGCAGAUAUCAGGAGGAACACCGAUGGCGAAGGCAGAUCUCUGGGCCGUAACUGACGCUGAGGAGCGAAAGCAUGGGGAGCGAACAGG